rnacentral:rRNA from 1 species
ACGAACGCUGGCGGCGUGCCUAAUACAUGCAAGUCGAACGCUUCUUUUUCCAUCGGAGCUUGCUCCACCGGAAAAAGAGGAGUGGCGAACGGGUGAGUAACACGUGGGUAACCUGCCCAUCAGAAGGGGAUAACACUUGGAAACAGGUGCUAAUACCGUAUAACAAUCGAAACCGCAUGGUUUUGAUUUGAAAGGCGCUUUCGGGUGUCGCUGAUGGAUGGACCCGCGGUGCAUUAGCUAGUUGGUGAGGUAACGGCUCACCAAGGCGACGAUGCAUAGCCGACCUGAGAGGGUGAUCGGCCACAUUGGGACUGAGACACGGCCCAAACUCCUACGGGAGGCAGCAGUAGGGAAUCUUCGGCAAUGGACGAAAGUCUGACCGAGCAACGCCGCGUGAGUGAAGAAGGUUUUCGGAUCGUAAAACUCUGUUGUUAGAGAAGAACAAGGAUGAGAGUAACUGUUCAUCCCUUGACGGUAUCUAACCAGAAAGCCACGGCUAACUACGUGCCAGCAGCCGCGGUAAUACGUAGGUGGCAAGCGUUGUCCGGAUUUAUUGGGCGUAAAGCGAGCGCAGGCGGUUUCUUAAGUCUGAUGUGAAAGCCCCCGGCUCAACCGGGGAGGGUCAUUGGAAACUGGGAGACUUGAGUGCAGAAGAGGAGAGUGGAAUUCCAUGUGUAGCGGUGAAAUGCGUAGAUAUAUGGAGGAACACCAGUGGCGAAGGCGGCUCUCUGGUCUGUAACUGACGCUGAGGCUCGAAAGCGUGGGGAGCAAACAGGAUUAGAUACCCUGGUAGUCCACACAGUAAACGAUGAAUACUCGCUGUUUGCGAUAUACGGUAAGCGGCCAAGCGAAAGCGUUAAGUAUUCCACCUGGGGAGUACGCCGGCAACGGUGAAACUCAAAGGAAUUGACGGGGGCCCGCACAAGCGGUGGAGCAUGUGGUUUAAUUCGAAGCAACGCGAAGAACCUUACCAGGUCUUGACAUCCUUUGACCACUCUAGAGAUAGAGCUUCCCCUUCGGGGGCAAAGUGACAGGUGGUGCAUGGUUGUCGUCAGCUCGUGUCGUGAGAUGUUGGGUUAAGUCCCGCAACGAGCGCAACCCUUAUUGUUAGUUGCCAUCAUUUAGUUGGGCACUCUAGCAAGACUGCCGGUGACAAACCGGAGGAAGGUGGGGAUGACGUCAAAUCAUCAUGCCCCUUAUGACCUGGGCUACACACGUGCUACAAUGGGAAGUACAACGAGUCGCAAAGUCGCGAGGCUAAGCUAAUCUCUUAAAGCUUCUCUCAGUUCGGAUUGUAGGCUGCAACUCGCCUACAUGAAGCCGGAAUCGCUAGUAAUCGCGGAUCAGCACGCCGCGGUGAAUACGUUCCCGGGCCUUGUACACACCGCCCGUCACACCACGAGAGUUUGUAACACCCGAAGUCGGUGAGGUAACCUUUUGGAGCCAGCCGCCUAAGGUGGGAUAGAUGAUUGGGGUG